rnacentral:rRNA from 1 species
AAUACUUUGGUGGCGACCGGCGCACGGGUGCGUAACGCGUAUGCAACCUACCUUUAACAGGGGCAUAACACUGAGAAAUUGGUACUAAUUCCCCAUAACAUUCGAGAAGGCAUCUUCUUGGGUUAAAAACUCCGGUGGUUAAAGAUGGGCAUGCGCCGUAUUAGCUAGUUGGUGAGGUAACGGCUCACCAAGGCAACGAUACAUAGGGGGACUGAGAGGUUAACCCCCCACAUUGGUACUGAGACACGGACCAA